AGAGUUUGAUCAUGGCUCAGAACGAACGCUGGCGGCAGGCUUAAGACAUGCAAGUCGAACGCCCCGCAAGGGGAGUGGCAGACGGGUGAGUAACGCGUGGGAACAUGCCCCAAGGUACGGAAUAUUCCCGGGAAACUGGGAGCAAUACCGUAUGUGACCGAGAGGUGAAAGAUUUAUCGCCUUGGGAUUGGCCCGCGUUAGAUUAGCUAGUUGGUGGGGUAAUGGCCUACCAAGGCGACGAUCUAUAGCUGUUCUGAGAGGAAGAUCAGCCACACUGGGACUGAGACACGGCCCAGACUCCUACGGGAGGCAGCAGUCGGGAAUCUUGGACAAUGGGCGCAAGCCUGAUCCAGCCAUGCCGCGUGAAUGAUGAAGGCCUUAGGGUUGUAAAAUUCUUUCGUCGGGGACGAUAAUGACGGUACCCGAAGAAGAAGCUCCGGCUAACUUCGUGCCAGCAGCCGCGGUAAUACGAAGGGGGCUAGCGUUGUUCGGAAUUACUGGGCGUAAAGCGCGUGUAGGCGGACCGUUAAGUCGGGGGUGAAAGCCCAGAGCUCAACUCUGGAAUUGCCUUCGAUACUGGCGGUCUGGACCCAAGUAGAGGCGAGUGGAAUUACGAGUGUAGAGGUGAAAUUCGUAGAUAUUCGUAGGAACACCAGUGGCGAAGGCGACUCGCUGGACUUGUGGUGACGCUGAGACGCGAAAGCGUGGGGAGCAAACAGGAUUAGAUACCCUAGUAGUCC
rnacentral:rRNA from 1 species